rnacentral:rRNA from 1 species
UACGUAUGGUGCAAGCGUUAUCCGGAUUUACUGGGUGUAAAGGGAGCGCAGGCGGUGCGGCAAGUCUGAUGUGAAAGCCCGGGGCUCAACCCCGGUACUGCAUUGGAAACUGUCGUACUAGAGUGUCGGAGGGGUAAGCGGAAUUCCUAGUGUAGCGGUGAAAUGCGUAGAUAUUAGGAGGAACACCAGUGGCGAAGGCGGCUUACUGGACGAUAACUGACGCUUAGGCUCGAAAGCGUGGGGAGCAAACAGG